UACGCGGCUGGUUCCUUUAGAAUAGUUCCGAACAGAUGAUCCACCCACACCUGCGACGAGGGCAGGGGGCCCGGGCUGGCGUCGUAAGGCAACUAUUCGCCCAAAUCGACCAAAUGGAGAAACCCCGACCCCGAAAUGCCGCUCGCGUGAUGUCAGCGAAAGGGUUUUAUGGUGUUUUGACCCGGGAUGUUAAUGACAGUACCGGGGGAAUAAGCUCCGGCCGAAUCGUCACAAGAAGCGGGGGAAAACGGAGGGGACCUAUCAUUAUUUAGUAUUUUUUUGCGUAAGCGCUGUAGCCGGCUUUGUAGGAAGAGGUGAGAGCCCAGAGCUCCCCUCAGAAAUUCUUUUUAGACCCCAUGGCUUGAAUCUGGGAGAGGUCAGUAGAAUUGUGAGUGUAGAGGUGAAAUUCGUAGAUAUUAGGAAAACACCAGUGGUGAAGGCGCCUGACUCGACAUUUUAUUGACGGUGUGGUGCGAAAAGUGGUGGGAGCAGUCAGCAUUAGAUACCAUGGUAUUCCCCGCCGUAAACGAUGAUAACUAGCUGUCCGGACACUUGAUGUUUGGGUGGCGCAGCACACGCAUUAAGUUAUCCGCCUGGGGAGUACGGCCGCAAGGUUAAAACUCAAAUGAAUGGACGGGGGCCUGCACAAGCGGUGGAGCAUGUGGUUUAAUUGGAAGCAACGCGCAGAACCUUACCAGCGUUUGACAAGGCAGGACGACUUCCAGAGAUGGAUUUCUUCCCUUCGGGGACCUGCACCCAGGUGCUGCACGGCUGUCGUCAGCUCGUGUCGUGAGAAGUUGGGUUAAGUCCCGCAACGAGAGCAACCCUCGCCUUUAGUUCCCAUCAUUCAGUUGGGCACUUCAAAGGAACCGCCGGUGAUAAGCCGGAGGAAGGUGGGGAUGACGUCAAGUCCUCAUGGCCCUUACGCGCUGGGCUACACACGUGCUACAAUGGCGGUGACAGUGGGCAGCAAGCACGCGAGUGUGAGCUAAUCUCCAAAAGCCGUCUCAGUUCGGAUUGUUCUCUGCAACUCGAGAGCAUGAAGGCGGAAUCGCUAGUAAUCGCGGAUCAGCAUGCCGCGGUGAAUACGUUCCCAGGCCUUGUACACACCGCCCGUCACCCCUUGGAGUUGGAUUCACCCGAAGGCGUUGCGCUAACUCGCAAGAGAGGCAGGCGACCACGGUGGUUAGCGACCGA
rnacentral:rRNA from 1 species